rnacentral:rRNA from 1 species
GAAAGUAAACAAGGGCGCAUGGAGGAUGCCUAGGCUCUCGGAGGCGAAGAAGGACGUGAUAAGCUGCGAAAAGUUACGGUAAGGCGCAAAUAGCCGUAGACCCGUAAAUAUCCGAAUGGGGCAACCCGGCCAGCAAUGGCCAUACCGCCAAGCGGUAAGCCAACGCGGGGAACUGAAACAUCUAAGUACCCGCAGGAAAAGAAAAUAACCAUGAUUCCGCAAGUAGUGGCGAGCGAACGCGGAACAGCCCAAACCACCCGUGUUACGGCACGAGUGGGGUAGAAGGAUCCACGCUACGGCAAGAAAUAAGUUAGCGGAAUACGAUGGAAAUCGUAGCCAAAGACGGUGACAGCCCAGUACGCGAAAACCGACAGAAGCCCAGUGGACACCUGAGUAACCCAGGACACGAGAAAUCCGGGGCGAAUCAGCGGGGCCCAUCCCGUAAGGCUAAAUACUCCCGAGAGACCGAUAGCGAACCAGUACUGUGAAGGAAAGGUGAAAAGAACCUCGAACAGAGGAGUGAAACAGACCCUGAAACCAUGCGCCUACAAGCGGUCGGAGCAUGUUAAAAUGUGACGGCGUGCCUUUUGCAUAAUGAACCUACGAGUUACUCUCGCUGGCAAGGUUAAGCGAUUCAGUCGCGCAGCCGAAGCGAAAGCAAGUCCGAACAAGGCGUACAGUCAGCGGGAGUAGACGCGAAACCAAGUGAUCUACCCUUGGUCAGGUUGAAGGUUGGGUAACACCAACUGGAGGACCGCACCGAUAAGCGUUGAAAAGCUUACGGAUGAACUGAGGGUAGGAGUGAAAGGCCAAUCAAACUUGGAGAUAGCUCGUACUCCCCGAAAUGCAUUUAGGUGCAGCCUCGAAGUAAAGUGAUAGAGGUAGAGCGACUGAUAAGAUGCGAGGGCUUCACCGCCUAUCAAGUCUUGACAAACUCCGAAUACUAUCACUUGAUCUUCGGGAGUGAGGGCAUGGGUGCUAAGGUCCAUGUCCGAAAGAGGAACAACUCAGACCACCAGCUAAGGUCCCGAAAUAAGGGCUAAGUUGAAUAAACGAAGUAAAACUGCAAAGACAGCUAGGAUGUUGGCUUGGAAGCAGCCAUUCAUUUAAAGAGUGCGUAACAGCUCACUAGUCGAGGAGUUUUGCAUGGAUAAUAAUCGGGCAUAAGCCCUUUACCGAAGCUGUGGAUGUCGCAAGACAUGGUAGGGGAGCAUUCCGGCGGCGACGAAGGCCGUCCUCGAGGACGACUGGAGCUUUCGGAAAAGCAAAUGUAGGUAUAAGUAACGAUAAAGGGGGCGCGAAACCCCCUCGCCAUAAGACUAAGGAUUCCUGAUCAACGCUAAUCGGAUCAGGGUAAGUCGGGCCCUAAGGCGCAGCCGAACGGCGUAGCCGAUGGAAGAAACGGUAAAGAUUCCGUUACUGGAUAUAGGAGCGAUGUGGAGACGGAGAAGUGACACACCCGCCUGCCGACGGAAGCGCAGGUUAAAGGAAGUAGGUAAACGCCGGGCAGGCAAAUCCGCCCAGCGUGCCGAAGCUGACAGUAUCGAGAGCCCCCGGGCAAUCGAAUAGCGGUGGUAACCAGGCUCCCAAGAAAAUCCGCUAAGCAUAUUCUAUAUCCACCCGUACCCCAAACGGACACACGUAGUCGGGUAGAAUAUACCAAGGCGCUCGAAAGACUCACGGUUAAGGAACUAGGCAAAUUGACCCUGUAACCUCGGGAAAAAGGGUCCCCAGUAAGAUGGGGCGCAGAGAAUAGGUCCAGGCAACUGUUUAACAAAAACACAGGGCUGUGCAAAAUUUGAAGAUGAAGUAUACAGCCUGACACCUGCCCGGUGCCGGAAGGUUAAGAGGAGAGCUAAUCGCAAGAGAAGGCUUGAAUUGAAGCCCCGGUAAACGGCGGCCGUAACUAUAACGGUCCUAAGGUAGCGAAAUUCCUUGUCGGGUAAGUUCCGACCUGCACGAAUGGUGUAA